UACAGAGGUCUCAAGCGUUUGUUCGGGAUUCAUUGGGCGUAAAGGGUGCGUAGGCGGCGCGGUAAGUCGGGUGUGAAAUCUCGGAGCUUAACUCCGAAACUGCAUUCGAUACUGCCGUGCUUGGAGGACUGGAGAGGAGACUGGGAAAUUCCUGGUGUAGGCGGUGGAAUGCGCAGAGUAUCAGGAGGAACACCGGUGGCGAAGGCGGGUCUCUGGGCAGUAACUGACGUGGAGGAGCGAAAGCGUGGGGAGCGAACAGG
rnacentral:rRNA from 1 species